rnacentral:rRNA from 1 species
CUACGGCCGCACCAGUGAGGAAUCUUGCGCAAUGGGGGAAACCCUGACGCAGCGACGCCGCGUGGGUGAUGAAGGCCUUCGGGUCGUAAAGCCCUGUCGAGAGGGAAGAAUGGCCAUUGGGUUAAUAUCCCAUUGGUUUGACGGUACCUCUAAAGGAAGCACCGGCCAACUCCGUGCCAGCAGCCGCGGUAAUACGGAGGGUGCCAGCGUUGUUCGGAAUCACUGGGCGUAAAGGGCGAGCAGGCGGUUUGGUAAGUCAGGUGUGAAAUCCCUGGGCUUAACCCAGGAAGUGCACAUGAUACUGCCAAUCUUGAGUACGGGAGAGGGAGGCGGAAUUCCGAGUGUAGAGGUGAAAUUCGUAGAUAUUCGGAGGAACACCGGUGGCGAAGGCGGCCUCCUGGACCGAUACUGACGCUGAGGCGCGAAAGCGUGGGUAGCAAACAGGAUUAGAUACCCCAGUAGUC